GUCUAGGAGGAGCAGGAGGGAUUGUGGGUGCACUUGAUCAGAGCACAUUGUAUUACAUGUACGGAAUGUUCCACAAAUGAAAAGCAAACCUUCCCAUCCUUUUGCUAACCUUAUGCUGUGUUACGAUGCAAGGCUUUCAAGAAGAACACAGAUCAGAUAUCAGCUCCUGCUUCUUCCUUUAGGGGUGCCCUUGUGGUGAAUAAACUUUACAAGCAGAAAAAAAAGAAAAAGUAAAGAAGUUCUUUUCUUGUUGAGGAGAGUUUUCUCUGUCAUGGGUUUUUUGUUAUUUCAAAUGAAUUUUCAAAUUGCUCUUUCUAACUCUAUGAAGCAGUGAGUUGGAAUUGUGAUAGCGAUUGCCUUGAAUAUGUUGAUUGCUUUUGCCAAGUUUGCCAUUUUUGCAAUAUUAACUCUACCAAUCCAUAAGCAUGGAAAAUCUUUCCAUCUGAGAUUUUCUUCAUUUUUUUUUCUUCACAGAGUUGAAGUUCUUGUCAUAAAGACCUUUUACUUGCUUGGUUAGAGUCACACUGAGUCUCUUGCAGAUUCAGCUAAAGAUGUGUAUAUGCUAGACUGUGAAGUACCAUUAGAAGAUGAAGCAAUGUAGGACCUCUUGAGCUAUUUUCAAGGUAGACUGGAGGUUCACUUGGGAUGCAAUGAAGAGCCCCUGACAAGCAUAUUCUUCAAAGCCUCCCAUGGUGUAACUGAAGAUACGAUAUGUGAAGUAGCCCUAGCUUGCCUGCUCAAGGCAUCUGCAGAUACUACCUUUUGAGGAAUGAAUCCUUCUCAGGAGACAAUAGACGGAACCUGCACUUCAAUGAUAAUUAAAUGGCACUUCAAGAUAUCAAAUCAAAAUAUCAAAGUGGGAAUGGAAUAAAUUUAUUAGUACAGUGUUUUGCAAACAACUUCUUUCACAAACAGCCUUGGAAGGAGAAUUCUGAAAUUUUGCAUUUCAUAUUUGACUUUGCUGGUACUCUGACAAAAUCAACUCACAACUGUUUGGGGCUUUAUGGGCAAUUAAAUACUACAAACAGAGCUGAAUGAAUCAGUGCUCUGCGGUAUGUGUUAAUAUGGCUACAGUGAAGAACAACUAUGCUUAAGCUAUUCAUCUGUUUUUCAAACAGCAUCCUCAUGCAACUGUGGACUUCUGUGGGUCGUUGGAUGGAUAGGUUGAGAACACUGGCUGAGAGCUGCAAAUGCAGAAGUGGGAUGGUACAUGAUUGGAUCAUGAAAGGCCUGUGUGUAGAUCAUAAACAACUUCACAAUAUUCAAUACUUUAAUAAUUACUAGGAAGUAGACUUCUGUAAAAUGACUUCAGCAGACCAGCAUGGUAGAAAAACAGUAACUGAUUCCCUGGAGAUUUAAAUCCACUGGAUUGUGAAACAUGGACUUAGAGGUAGAGACAUGUCAGCACAUGAAGACUGGAUAAUGAAACCACUGUUGCCUCUUAAGUUUCCCUAACCCAUGGUUUGAGGCCAACAGCAACAGAUUUUUUGCACUGAGGAAUAGAAUAAAAGCCAAUUUGUUGAAAAUCCCAAUCAUAAGAAAAUACUGAAAUCAUCUGUGACAAACAUCAACUCUCAGCAUGGUUUCAGGAUGUCUGAAUGUCUGCUGUCAGCAUGGGCUUUUACUGACAUCCCUUUUAUAACUGCAGAGCUCCAAUCUGCUUCAGCCACAUCAUCAUCUCUUAAUUCUGUUGCAGGUAGAUUAGAUCACUGUGUCUGCCUAUGCAGUCUUUCUCUACAUAUAAAGACCCAAGGAACAAAUCUCACUCCAGGCAGCUGUUGAAAGUAAUUUUGAAUCGCAUUGGUGUUGUUAGUAGAUGUAAUGUCUUCAAAUCCCAGAAGACCAUGUUUGCAAAGGAGUUGAUUGAGGAAGUCUUGGGUAUUUCUUUCAUAGGGGCAGGUGGGAUCGAUGAACAGGACCGCUUUCUCAGACUAGAUCUUGCAGUUCACAUACACGUGAGUCAUGCUGACAGGGUGCAGCUUCCCAGAAUAGAAUGUUCAGUUGAAGAUACUGGUCUGUUUGAGAGUGGCAAACCCAAUGUAUUCUAAACCAUGCAUUCUAGUUGAAUCCCUAUAGAAAACAUGGAAGAAAGAAGCAUUUACUUUUUCAUUUUUGCACUAACAAUGCUACCAAACACUCACAGACAUUAGAACCUGCAUACUGAAGAUGUAUCCAUAUACAAAUGACCAGAUGUGACAUCUAGCCUUUUGAACUAAUAAAAUAAUGGAUUCUAGGACUUUAAAAAUAGUCAGCCAGUGUUAAAGUAUGUGGUCCAUAGUGUGUGAUAAUUGUGACUAGUUCGAUAGCUCUGUACAGAGAGAUUCAUCCUUUACUAUCUCUUAGGGAACACGAACUACUACACCAGGUAUCUAGAGAAGACCUUUUACUGCAGUUUGAGUCUAGCAAGAGUUUCAGCUCAGUUACAAAUUUCCAAUGGCCACAUACCCUUAGUCUGAUAUUCAUACGCUGCUUUGAUACAGUCCUACUUAUAUUCUAUAGUUCUUGUCAACCGAAUUAAAAGAGCAUUGUAUCCUAUUAAAGAAAUGCACAGUAAUUUAUUUGCAUGAGUGCAGCAGAGAGAAGGAUUAUAGGAUAAACAAGAAUUGGAAAGCAAGAUGUCCUUCCUUCUGAGGACCAAGACCAGGAAACCUGAACUACAUAAAAAUCUGAAACAAGUUGUCUGAAGUUUGUUCUUUCCUUCAAUCAUGGGGCUCCUAGUGAAGGAGCUCAGUUCUCAAGAGUUGGCAAAAAUUACCUUUAUUGCUGAGCCAGGACAAUUGCUGAAUACUUCAUUCAUGGACCUGAAGAAACUCUGUAUCCAUCCUGCUAUAAUAUGUAUAUAUCUAUGUAUCAUUCAUAGAAUGGACACUUUACUGUUGGUUUGAAAGCAACAGUUUGUCCCUGGAGAGACACAGAUUUCUUCUUUCACAAAUUAUUUCACAGUCUGAUGGUGGGUCUCAUAAGUUCAUUCCGGGAUUUGCUUUACAGUAAUCAUUCAGUGAUCUGGAAGAAACACUUAUUUAAUGUUGUGAGAUCUACUAGAACAAUAUCAACCAUCAUUUUCCCUUCCCAGUUUAAUUCUGAAUCAUUCUCCACUAAAGGUCUGUGGUCUCUGAUGAAGGCAGCAUCUCCACAGACUAGUCUGAAUAUUGCUUUUAGCACUGCAUUUAUGAUACAUCAAUGUGAUUUCCUUACCACUCUCAUUCCCUAGAGAGUUUUUCAAUUCAUUUCAUCUGAUGGGUCUAAUGUACAUCAUCACCAAGGAUGAGUUUUGAGAGUU